GACGAACGCUGGCGGCGUGCUUAACACAUGCAAGUCGAGCGGUAAGGCCCUUUCGGGGGUACGACGAGCGGCGAACGGGUGAGUAACACGUGGGUGACCUGCCCUUACGCUCUGGGAUAAGCCUGGGAAACGUGGGUCUAAUACCGGAUAUGACUCCAUGACGCAUGUUGUGGGGUGGAAAGCCUUGUGCGGCUAGGGAUGGGCCCGCGGCCUAUCAGCUUGUUGGUGGGGUGAUGGCCUACCAAGGCGACGACGGGUAGCCGGCCUGAGAGGGCGACCGGCCACACUGGGACUGAGACACGGCCCAGACUCCUACGGGAGGCAGCAGUGGGGAAUCUUGCGCAAUGGGCGAAAGCCUGACGCAGCGACGCCGCGUGAGGGAUGACGGCCU
rnacentral:rRNA from 1 species